GAUAGUGGCGCACGGGUGCGUAACACGUAACUAACCUACCUAUAACUGGGGGAUAGCCCGCCGAAAGGCGGAUUAAUACCGCAUAAGCUAGUUGACUCGGCAUCGGGUUAUUAGUAAAGAUUUAUUGGUUAUAGAUGGGGUUGCGGGUCAUUAGCUAGUUGGUAAGGUAACGGCUUACCAAGGCGACGAUGACUAGGGGAGCUGAGAGGCUGGUCCCCCACACGGGCACUGAGAUACGGGCCCGACUCCUACGGGAGGCAGCAGUAGGGAAUAUUGGGCAAUGGGCGAGAGCCUGACCCAGCCAUGCCGCGUGCAGGAAGAAGGCUUUCUGAGUCGUAAACUGCUUUUGACAGGGAAGAAUAAGGACUACGUGUAGUCUGAUGACGGUACCUGCAGAAUAAGCACCGGCUAACUCCGUGCCAGCAGCCGCGGUAAUACGGAGGGUGCGAGCGUUGUCCGGAUUUAUUGGGUUUAAAGGGUGCGUAGGCGGCCGAUUAAGUCUGGGGUGAAAGCCCGCUGCUCAACAGCGGAACUGCCCUGGAUACUGGUUGGCUUGAGUACAGACGAGGUUGGCGGA
rnacentral:rRNA from 1 species